CGGUACGGGUCGGAGGUAACAACGUACGGAGUGAUCUGCCCUAGAGUGUGGAAUAACGAUGGGAAACCGUCGCUAAUACCGCAUAAUCCCGAGAGGGGAAAGCAGCAAUGCGCUCAAGGAGGAGUCCGCGGCCGAUUAGCUUGUUGGUAGGGUAAUGGCCUACCAAGGCUUCGAUCGGUAGCCGGCCUGAGAGGGCACACGGCCACACUGGCACUGAAACACGGGCCAG
rnacentral:rRNA from 1 species